rnacentral:sRNA from 1 species
AUGCUCCUUGGAUGUGAUUUAGUGUUGGCAGAAACCGGGCACCUCUCCUAGCACAGCCCGGUUGUUGAACCCCGAACCUCCCUCCCCUAUGAAGUUCGGGGUUUUUUUUAUUCCUGCGG